ensembl:lncRNA
CUGGGCAGCAGUACAAGGUGCUAACUCUUAGGGACAGCGUUGCUAGUGCAAAUGGAUGGUAGCUGAGUAUUAUGGAAGAGCGAGGAUAUCGCUGAAGGUCACAGCACUGAGGAGAGAGUCUCCUUUAUCUCAGGACAUCGGAACUGGAUUCAAAUAAAGGGUGAAUUUUAGCCAUCUCAUCUUUUAAAGGGAUGAAGGGGACACACAAAAAAAACCAUUCCCACGAAAGCAAGAAAUGGGAAAAGACUGUCACCUAAGUGCAGUGGCCCUUCGUAAAAGAAGGAGUUGGAAGUAUUCCCACUGAGUUCUGAGACCGUGAGAGAGGGCUGUUUCUGUGCCCAGACUUAUGCUCCCCAUCACAGUACAGUGCCAUCACAGAGGAGAGUCAUCACACUGUGCUUCUCAGGCCUGUGAUUUUCAAGUGCACAGUUCCCAGUGCCAGUGAGUGGAGCUGUGUAAGCAGGGAUUCACAAGCUGUCACCCGGAGCUACAUUCACACAAGCACUAAUAUCAUUCAUUUCCCUUGUGAUGCUGUGAGAAGUGCAAGCAAGGAAAAAAUAGAGUAUUCUGGUGCAGUCUGUUCACUGGCCACCUUCUUGGGAGUCAAAUUACCUUAAUGUAUCAAUAAAAUCUGAGUGAGUCUUCAUUCUUGGAUGUUCAGAAGGAAAGAAGUUCUAUGUCCUGCAGGGAUGGCCAAGUCCUUUCUUUCCGAUACUUCAUUACAGAUCUCAGAUAUCUUAAAGCUGACUAUGAAGGAAAUGCA